GUUGAACGCUAGCGGCAGGCCUAACACAUGCAAGUCGAGCGAGCGGCGGACGGGAGAGAAAUGUAUGGAGCUCUGCCAGAAAGAGGGGGCAAACUAGUGGAAACGGUGGCUAAUACCGAAUAAUAGCGAAUGAACACAUAGGGGAUUCGCGAGUAGGUGGGGUAAAGGCUCACCUAGGAGACGAUCCCGAGCUGGUCUGAGAGGAUGAACAGCCACACUGGGACUGAGACACGGCCCAGACUCCUCCGGGAGGCAGCAGUGGGGAAUAUUGCACAAUGGGCGCAAGCCUGAUGCAGCCAUGCCGCGUGUAUGAAGAAGGCCUUCGGGUUGUAAAGUACUUUCAGCGGGGAGGCGUUACCCGCAGAAGAAGCACCGGCUAACUCCGUGCCAGCCGCCGCGGUAAUAC
rnacentral:rRNA from 1 species